rnacentral:rRNA from 1 species
UACGUAGGUGGCAAGCGUUAUCCGGAUUCACUGGGUUUAAAGGGUGCGUAGGCGGGCAGGUAAGUCCGUGGUGAAAUCUCUGAGCUUAACUCAGAAACUGCCAUGGAUACUAUUUGUCUUGAAUAUUGUGGAGGUAAGCGGAAUAUGUCAUGUAGCGGUGAAAUGCUUAGAUAUGACAUAGAACACCAAUUGCGAAGGCAGCUUACUACACAGUUAUUGACGCUGAGGCACGAAAGCGUGGGGAUCAAACAGG